rnacentral:rRNA from 1 species
UUGAAGAGUUUGAUCAUGGCUCAGAUUGAACGCUGGCGGCAGGCCUAACACAUGCAAGUCGAGCGGUAGCACAGAGAGCUUGCUCUCGGGUGACGAGCGGCGGACGGGUGAGUAAUGUCUGGGAAACUGCCUGAUGGAGGGGGAUAACUACUGGAAACGGUAGCUAAUACCGCAUAACGUCGCAAGACCAAAGUGGGGGACCUUCGGGCCUCAUGCCAUCAGAUGUGCCCAGAUGGGAUUAGCUAGUAGGUGGGGUAACGGCUCACCUAGGCGACGAUCCCUAGCUGGUCUGAGAGGAUGACCAGCCACACUGGAACUGAGACACGGUCCAGACUCCUACGGGAGGCAGCAGUGGGGAAUAUUGCACAAUGGGCGCAAGCCUGAUGCAGCCAUGCCGCGUGUGUGAAGAAGGCCUUCGGGUUGUAAAGCACUUUCAGCGGGGAGGAAGGCGAUAAGGUUAAUAACCUUGUCGAUUGACGUUACCCGCAGAAGAAGCACCGGCUAACUCCGUGCCAGCAGCCGCGGUAAUACGGAGGGUGCAAGCGUUAAUCGGAAUUACUGGGCGUAAAGCGCACGCAGGCGGUCUGUCAAGUCGGAUGUGAAAUCCCCGGGCUCAACCUGGGAACUGCAUUCGAAACUGGCAGGCUAGAGUCUUGUAGAGGGGGGUAGAAUUCCAGGUGUAGCGGUGAAAUGCGUAGAGAUCUGGAGGAAUACCGGUGGCGAAGGCGGCCCCGACAAAGACUGACGCUCAGGUGCGAAAGCGUGGGGAGCAAACAGGAUUAGAUACCCUGGUAGUCCACGCCGUAAACGAUGUCGAUUUGGAGGUUGUGCCCUUGAGGCGUGGCUUCCGGAGCUAACGCGUUAAAUCGACCGCCUGGGGAGUACGGCCGCAAGGUUAAAACUCAAAUGAAUUGACGGGGGCCCGCACAAGCGGUGGAGCAUGUGGUUUAAUUCGAUGCAACGCGAAGAACCUUACCUGGUCUUGACAUCCACAGAACUUUCCAGAGAUGGAUUGGUGCCUUCGGGAACUGUGAGACAGGUGCUGCAUGGCUGUCGUCAGCUCGUGUUGUGAAAUGUUGGGUUAAGUCCCGCAACGAGCGCAACCCUUAUCCUUUGUUGCCAGCGGUCCGGCCGGGAACUCAAAGGAGACUGCCAGUGAUAAACUGGAGGAAGGUGGGGAUGACGUCAAGUCAUCAUGGCCCUUACGACCAGGGCUACACACGUGCUACAAUGGCAUAUACAAAGAGAAGCGACCUCGCGAGAGCAAGCGGACCUCAUAAAGUAUGUCGUAGUCCGGAUUGGAGUCUGCAACUCGACUCCAUGAAGUCGGAAUCGCUAGUAAUCGUAGAUCAGAAUGCUACGGUGAAUACGUUCCCGGGCCUUGUACACACCGCCCGUCACACCAUGGGAGUGGGUUGCAAAAGAAGUAGUCGGGAGGGCGCUUACCACUUUGUGAUUCAUGACUGGGGUGAAGUCGUAACAAGGUAACCGUAGGGGAACCUGCGGUUGGAUCACCUCCUU